GAUGAACGCUAGCUACAGGCUUAACACAUGCAAGUCGAGGGGCAGCAUGUCGGUUGCUUGCAACCGAUGAUGGCGACCGGCGCACGGGUGAGUAACGCGUAUCCAACCUACCCUUGUCCAUCGGAUAACCCGUCGAAAGGCGGCCUAACACGAUAUGCGGUUCACAGCAGGCAUCUAACGAGAACGAAAUGUGAAGGAGAAGGAUGGGGGAUGCGUCUGAUUAGCUUGUUGGCGGGGUAACGGCCCACCAAGGCGACGAUCAGUAGGGGUUCUGAGAGGAAGGUCCCCCACAUUGGAACUGAGACACGGUCCAAACUCCUACGGGAGGCAGCAGUGGGGAAUAUUGGUCAAUGGGCGAGAGCCUGAACCAGCCAAGUAGCGUGCAGGACGACGGCCCUAUGGGUUGUAAACUGCUUUUAUAAGGGAAUAAAGUGAGUCUCGUGAGACUUUUUGCAUGUACCUUAUGAAUAAGGACCGGCUAAUUCCGUG
rnacentral:rRNA from 1 species